GACGAACGCUGGCGGCGUGCUUAACACAUGCAAGUCGAGCGGUAAGGCCCUUUCGUGGGUACACGAGCGGCGAACGGGUGAGUAACACGUGGGUGACCUGCCCUCAGCUCUGGGAUAAGCCUGGGAAACCGGGUCUAAUACUGGAUAUGACUCCAUGACGCAUGUUGUGGGGUGGAAAGCCUUGUGCGGCUGAGGAUGGGCCCGCGGCCUAUCAGCUUGUUGGUGGGGNGAUGGCCUACCAAGGCGACGACGGGUAGCCGGCCUGAGAGGGCGACCGGCCACACUGGGACUGAGACACGGCCCAGACUCCUACGGGAGGCAGCAGUGGGGAAUCUUGCGCAAUGGGCGAAAGCCUGACGCAGCGACGCCGCGUGAGGGAUGACGGCCUGGUGUAAC
rnacentral:rRNA from 1 species